UACGAACUGUGCGAACGUUAUUCGGAAUCACUGGGCUUAAAGGGUGCGUAGGCGGCUUGCCAAGUCAGGUGUGAAAUCCCCCGGCUCAACCGGGGAACAGCGCUUGAUACUAGCAGGCUGGAGUGAGGUAAGGGUGUGCGGAACUUCCAGUGGAGCGGUGAAAUGUGUAGAUAUUGGAAGGAACGCCGGUGGCGAAAGCGGCACACUGGGCCUUGUCUGACGCUGAGGCACGAAAGCUAGGGAAGUGAACGGG
rnacentral:rRNA from 1 species